GCCCUCGUAGCUCAGGGGAUAGAGCGUCUGCCUCCGGAGCAGAAGGUCGUUGGUUCGAUUCCAAUCGAGGGCACAA
rnacentral:tRNA from 3 species